rnacentral:rRNA from 1 species
AUACAGAGGGUGCAAGCGUUAAUCGGAUUUACUGGGCGUAAAGCGCGCGUAGGUGGCUAAUUAAGUCAAAUGUGAAAUCCCCGAGCUUAACUUGGGAAUUGCAUUCGAUACUGGUUAGCUAGAGUAUGGGAGAGGAUGGUAGAAUUCAAGGUGUAGCGGUGAAAUGCGUAGAGAUCUGGAGGAAUACCGAUGGCGAAGGCAGCCAUCUGGCCUAAUACUGACACUGAGGUGCGAAAGCAUGGGGAGCAAACAGGAUUAGAUACCCUGGUAGUCCAUGCCGUAAACGAUGUCUACUAGCCGUUGGGGCCCUUGAGGCUUUAGUGGCGCAGCUAACGCGAUAAGUAGACCGCCUGGGGAGUACGGUCGCAAGACUAAAACUCAAAUGAAUUGACGGGG